UACAGAGGUGGCAAGCGUUGUUCGGAAUUACUGGGCGUAAAGGGCGCGUAGGCGGCCUUCUAAGUCAGACGUGAAAUCCCCCGGCUUAACCUGGGAACUGCGUCUGAUACUGGGAGGCUAGAGUGCGGGAGAGGGAUGCGGAAUUCCAGGCGUAGCGGUGAAAUGCGUAGAUAUCUGGAGGAACACCGGUGGCGAAGGCGGCAUCCUGGACCGACACUGACGCUGAGGCGCGAAAGCGUGGGGAGCGAACAGG
rnacentral:rRNA from 1 species